rnacentral:misc_RNA from 1 species
AACGCACAUUGCGCUCCUUGGUAUUCCGGGGAGCAUGCCCGUUUCAGAAUCAUUUAAUCAUCUCACUGCUCUCAUGGGCAGCUGGAUGUUGGAUGGUCUUUUUGAACUCUCUCUCCUUUGAGGGGGUGCAAUCAUCUGAAAUGUGAUUGUACGUGGCCCUUGCUGUCAUGGUUGGCUGGCUCACCUGGUGCAACAGAUUUAUUCAUCUUUACGCCUUGUGGUCCGUCAAUCUGAGCUUGGUUUGUCUUGCGUACACCCAAGUACUACACAGACGGCGUCAGUUGUCUGAUAACUUGGUCUGAAAUCGGGCAAGAAAACCCGCUGAACUUAA